rnacentral:rRNA from 1 species
UACGUAGGGUGCGAGCGUUAAUCGGAAUUACUGGGCGUAAAGCGUGCGCAGGCGGUUCGUUGUGUCUGAUGUGAAAGCCCCGGGCUCAACUUGGGAACGGCAUUGGAAACUGGCGAGCUAGAGUGUGGCAGAGGGGGGUGGAAUUCCGCGUGUAGCAGUGAAAUGCGUAGAUAUCAGGAGGAAUACCGAUGGCGAAGGCAGGUCUCUGGGCUGAUACUGACGCUCAUGCACGAAAGCG